UGAUGGUGGAGUGGAAAAUCACGAAGCAUGGGCUUGAACCUCUCUCAAACUUGAUAAAAAAUUUCACCAUUCUUUUGUUUGAAGCUCAAUAUUUCAUUCCUCAACCU
rfam:Capsicum annuum cultivar Zunla-1 chromosome 8, whole genome shotgun sequence